rnacentral:rRNA from 1 species
GACGAACGCUGGCGGCGUGCCUAAUACAUGCAAGUAGAACGCAGUUGCGAACGGGUGAGUAACUCGUAGGUAACUGCCUGGUAGCGGGGGAUAACUAUUGGUAACGAUAGCUAAUACCGCAUACUACCAGAUGGACCUGCGUUGUAUUAGCUAGUUGGUUGGGUAACGGCUCACCAAGGCAACGAUACAUAGCCGACCUGAGAGGGUGAUCCGCCAAACUGGGACUGAGAAACGGGCCAGAAUCCUACGGGAGGCAGCAGUAGGGAAUCUUCGGCAAUGGGCGGAAGUCUGACCGCGCAACGCCGCGUGAGUGAAGAAGGUUUUCGGGUCGUAAAGCUCUGUUGUGAGAGAAGCGGUAUCUGACCAGAAAGGAACGGCUAACUACGUGCCAGCAGCCGCGGUAAUUC